rnacentral:tRNA from 1 species
GCCUCUGUAGCUCAGUCGGUUAGAGCGCUGCACCGGAAUCGCAGGGCCGUAGGUUCAAUUCCUACCAGAGGAC